ensembl:lncRNA
GUGAAAUCAAAAGUGAAGGUGAACAAGGGUUUCUCCCUGCCUCUUGAUGUACAACAUAAAGAGCUCCUAUAAUGCUACAAACCCAUUAUUUUUAUAUUCCAGAAAUUCUAACCAUUCUGCAAAGGAGAAUGAAUCAAGCUUGGAGCUUUUUGGGAAGAGAAAAGGACAGAAGAAGAACAAAGAGAAGACAUAAGAAUAAAUGAAACGUACUCCAGUUGAUUGGAAGGUCUCUCUAGCCCAAACGUUCACUCACAAACACAAGGAAGGAUGAGAAUUUGCAACAGCAUGGGACACACAGGCACAGACGCACAGUGAUGCUAUCACUGCGCCAUCCACCCUUCUGCUGAGAACCACCGAAGGAGUCUGGAGGCAACUGGAAUUCCACUGUGUUGAGUGCUGCAUGAAUAGCUAGAGACAGUCCUUUUGCACCAUGCAUCAGGCGAAACAACAGCAAUCUCCUAAAAGGUAGAAAUAUGUCCAAUGCUUUGAGACUGUUUUUCAG